AGAGGGGUGCGAGCGUUAAUCGGAAUUACUGGGCGUAAAGGCGCGUAGGGUUGUUUGUUAAGUUAGAUGUGAAAUGUGCGGGCUUAACCUGCAUUAGUCAUCUGGUACUGGCAGACUAGAGUACAGUAGAGGGUAGCGGAAUUUCCGGUGUAGCAGUGAAAUGCGUAGAUAUCGGAAGGAACACCAGUGGCGAAGGCGGCUACCUGGACUGAUACUGACACUGAGGCGCGAAAGCGUGGGUAGCGAACGGGAUUAGAUACCCCGGUAGUCCACGCCGUAAACGAUGACAACUAACCGUUGGGUCCCUAUAUGGACUUAGUGGUGAAGCAAACGCGAUAAGUUGUCCGCCUGGGGAGUACGACCGCAAGGUUA
rnacentral:rRNA from 1 species